GACGAACGCUGGCGGCGUGCUUAACACAUGCAAGUCGAACGGAAAGGCCCCCUUGUGGGGUACUCGAGUGGCGAACGGGUGAGUAACACGUGAGUAACCUACCCUUUACUUUGGGAUAACUUCAGGAAACUGGGGCUAAUACCGGAUAGGAGCUCCUGCUGCAUGGUGGGGGUUGGAAAGUUUCGGCGGUUGGGGAUGGACUCGCGGCUUAUCAGCUUGUUGGUGGGGUAGUGGCUAACCAAGGCUUUGACGGGUAGCCGGCCUGAGAGGGUGACCGGCCACAUUGGGACUGAGAUACGGCCCAGACUCCUACGGGAGGCAGCAGUGGGGAAUAUUGCACAAUGGGCAGAAGCCUGAUGCAGCAACGCCGCGUGCGGGAUGACGGCCUUCGGGUUGUAAACCGCUUUCGCCUGUGACGAAGCGUGAGUGACGGUAAUGGGUAAAGAAGCACCGGCUAACUACGUG
rnacentral:rRNA from 1 species